rfam:Oribacterium sinus F0268 genomic scaffold SCAFFOLD5, whole genome shotgun sequence.
GUAUCUGCAAGGUAUUAACCGAAGACAGCAGGUAUCUAAGCUUUCGAACUGGUUUUGCAGUUUUUCUGCGACAGUAAGAAGGACAGGAUGUAAAGAGAAAUCGCCCGCCGAGGAAAGAGCUAGGAUUUAUCCUAUUAUGUGCGUUCAUCCCUUGUCUUUGGCAAGGGAUUUUUUAUUCUUCUAA